UACGUAGGGCGCAAGCGUUGUCCGGAAUUAUUGGGCGUAAAGAGCUCGUAGGCGGUUUGUCACGUCGGAUGUGAAAACUCGGGGCUCAACCCCGAGCCUGCAUUCGAUACGGGCAGACUUGAGUUCGGCAGGGGAGACUGGAAUUCCUGGUGUAGCGGUGAAAUGCGCAGAUAUCGAGAGGAACACCUGCGGCGAAGGCGGGUUGCUGGGCUGACACUGACGCUGAUGCGCGAAAGCCAGGGGAGCGAACGGG
rnacentral:rRNA from 1 species